rnacentral:rRNA from 1 species
ACUCAAAUGAAUAGACGGGGGCUCACACAAGCGGUGGAGGAUGUGGUUUAAUUCGAAGCAACGCGCAGAACCUUACCAGGCCUUGACAUGCUGGGAUUAGUUCCGUGAAAGCGGGAUGAUUGCUCGCAAGAGUGUAACCAGCACAGGUGCUGCAUGGCUGUCGUCAGCUCGUGCCGUGAGGUGUCAGGUUAAGUCCUUUAACGAGCGAAACCCCUACGUCGAGUUGCCAGCGGGUAAAGCCGGGGACUCUCGACGGACUGCCGCGCAAGCUGGAGGAAGGAGGGGACGACGUCAAGUCAUCAUGGCCUUUAUGGCCUGGGCCACACACGUCCUACAAUGGGUGGUACAACGGGAAGCAAUACCGCAAGGUCUAGCCAAUCCCUGAAAGCCACCCUCAGUUCGGAUUGUGGGCUGCAAUUCGCCCACAUGAAGCUGGAAUCGCUAGUAAUCGCGGAUCAGCCACGCCGCGGUGAAUAUGUUCCUGAGCCUUGUACACACCGCCCGU